rnacentral:lncRNA from 11 species
GAUCUCUUAAGAAAUAACUGAAAGCUACUCUGUUUUCCCGAAAAUAAGACAUCCCCUCAAAUAAGACCUAGUAGAGGUUUUGCUGAAUUGCUAAAUAUAAGACCUCCUCCGAAAGUAAGACCUAGCAAAGUUUUUGUUUGGAAGCUUGCCUGAUGAACAGAACACCAGAGCAUGCAGGAUCUGUAAAUGUAGCUAAUCUCGCAGCCAGCUCGAGUUGCAGACUUCUCUCCAACUCUCGCACGGCAUUCAGUGAGUCAGCCGUCGUAGACACAACACCCUCUCAAACACUCCGUCUCAAGGUAGCUUACAAGCUAAAGAUUUUUUAA